rnacentral:RNase_P_RNA from 2 species
GGAGUCGGCCGGAUAAUCGCUCCGAUAUCGGGGAGGAAAGUCCGGGCUCCACAGGGCAGAGUGCCAGGUAACGCCUGGGCGGCGCGAGCCGACGGAAAGUGCCACAGAAAAUAUACCGCCCCGCGAGGGGUAAGGGUGAAAUGGUGCGGUAAGAGCGCACCGCGCGGCUGGCAACAGCCGUGGCAGGGCAAACCCCACUCGGAGCAAGGCCAAAUAGGGGAACAAUGGCGCGGCCCGCGCUGUUCCCGGGUAGGCUGCUAGAGGUGCGUGGCGACGCGCAUCCCAGAUGAAUGAUUGUCCUCGACAGAACCCGGCUUACAGGCCGACUCCCCUC